rnacentral:rRNA from 1 species
UAGGGAAUCUUCGGCAAUGGGGGGAACCCUGACCGAGCAACGCCGCGUGAGUGAAGAAGGUUUUCGGAUCGUAAAGCUCUGUUGUUAAGGAAGAACGAGUGUGAGAAUGGAAAGUUCAUACUGUGACGGUACUUAACCAGAAAGGGACGGCUAACUACGUGCCAGCAGACGCGGUAAUACGUAGGUCCCGAGCGUUGUCCGGAUUUAUUGGGCGUAAAGCGAGCGCAGGCGGUUAGAUAAGUCUGAAGUUAAAGGCAGUGGCUCAACCAUUGUAGGCUUUGGAAACUGUUUAACUUGAGUGCAGAAGGGGAGAGUGGAAUUCCAUGUGUAGCGGUGAAAUGCGUAGAUAUAUGGAGGAACACCGGUGGCGAAAGCGGCUCUCUGGUCUGUAACUGACGCUGAGGCUCGAAAGCGUGGGGAGCGAACAGG